rnacentral:misc_RNA from 1 species
AAUCGAUUCAAUAGUUUAUCUGCUGGGUCUUUCAAGUUUGUGACUAUUUUGAAACAUUUGCACUCAUCUCUUAUAAAAACUCUUUUUCCUUUUUAAUUUUUUGGUUUUAUAAAGGAAGUUGAGACUCAAAUUUAAAACUUACCAAGUUGAGAUGUGCAUUUAUUAGAAGGCUAAGCUUAUGGGUGUCAACUUUUAAACUUUGCAACUGUUUGUUGUCGAUCAUACAUACAUUUUAAUAUUUAAAUAUUACUCUGAAUUUCUUGAAAAUCAUAGUUGCAAAACAAGAUUAUCCUCACAUGAGAAAUUGUGAUUUGCCAAUAACUAGGCUUCCACCACAUGUAUAGGCUAACUAAUGAGAAUCUAUUUAGUUUUGAUUGAGAUUUGAACUCAAAAACUCGUACAAUCUUGGAGAUAAAUCUAAUAUCAUUAAAUUAAAGCUCAUUAAUUACCUAAUUUUAACUUUGAUGUGUCUGUUUAAGCACAGAAUUGAUGACCCAAGUCUGUGCUUAAGGCAUGAGGCAUGAGAACAAGUUUCAAUUCUGACAGCCAUAGAAAAAUAUACAUUAAAUAGGAAAGGAGCAGAAAACAAAGGAAACUAUUCCUUGCCUUAUAUUUAUCUACCUUAGAAGUGUAAAAAGAAUGUUUGCUUUGGACAAGCUUCAGAGAAUGGCAUGUUGCACAUGGUGGAGCCAUCCUUUCUCUAAUACUAAUCGAUCAUUGGUAGGGGAUUUUCUGGUUAAUUAAUUAGGCUUUAUCGUUUUCCAUUGAUGAGAAUGGCAUGCAAAUUAAUUCCAAUAUAAGUAGUGCAUUUUCAAGGAGAUUGUAUAACAAAUUUACCUUGUCAAAUAUUGG